UAAGGAAUAUUGGUCAAUGGACGCAAGUCUGAACCAGCCAUGCCGCGUGGAGGAUGAAGGCCCUCUGGGUUGUAAACUUCUUUUAUAUGGGACGAAAAAGGGUCUUUCUAGAUCAACUGACGGUACCAUGUGAAUAAGCACCGGCUAACUCCGUUCCAGCAGCCGCGGUAAUACGGAGGGUGAAGCGUUAUCCGGAUUCACUGGGUUUAAAGGGUGCGUAGGCGGGUUGGUAAGUCAGUGGUGAAAUCUCCGAGCUUAACUUGGAAACUGCCAUUGAUACUAUCAGUCUUGAGUAAUGUGAAGGUCAGAGGAAUAUGUCAGGUAGCGGUGAAAUGCUUAGAUAUGGCAUAGAACACCGAUUACGAAGGCAGCUGGCUACGCAUAUAUUGACAGUGAGGCACGAAAGCGUGGGGAUCAAACA
rnacentral:rRNA from 1 species